GGAAGGGUGGCAGAGUGGUCGAUUGCACCGGUCUUGAAAACCGGCGAUGUGCAAGCAUCCGUGGGUUCGAAUCCCACCCCUUCCG
rnacentral:tRNA from 2 species